UCUUGUUAGAGCCGCACUUCCAAUUUGGAAUGUUCGCCCAAAUGUUUCAUUUUUGUCUGUGGCCGAAGGCUGCACGGAUGCUUCGAUUCCCGAGAAACCCACAAAGACCACCUCUUCAUUCAAAACCAAAAUAAUCACUUCCUAACACGAGGCUAAUUGUGUCGUUAUGUUCUCCUCCAAGUCGGGGGUGUCGCUACGGCUGCUAUCGGCUCGGACGCCGCAGGGUGCGGUUUCCGGCAGCCGUUUUUCCUUUCCUUUCCGGAACAAGGAACGAAGCAACGACAAUGGCGACCGUGGAACACCGUCUGCUAGAACAAAUGGACCUAGAUGACCAGAUGGUACGUUUCAUGAUGUAGUUCAACUCCACUCAUAUUUAAGUUAUUGGUUCAUGUGGAUGUAACUGUAACGUGUGCGGUGUGCAUUACCAAGUAUUGGGUACGGUUAAGCGAAUGCUUUUUUUGUACUGUGGAUAAGUGAUAUUCCUGCCACUUGGCAGCUGCUGAAAGAAGCUAAAAAGUUACUCGCUUCUAACUUGGUUACUUUUGAAAUCAAGUAAUCAGUAAAGCAAGUAAGUUACUUUUCCAAGGUAACUGCGGCAACACUGCCCGCCAGCGUCAGCUAUGUGAAACACGAGAUGAGCAAAGGACAGCUAACGACGCACCGGGGGGAGCUGCUCGCCGUGCGUCGACUUACUCGUAUUCGUGCGGUAUCCUGAUGACCGGCGACUUCAUGUCGUGGCCGCCGUGGCGCUCGUGAACGAGUUCGGGACGAGGCUCGCUUUUGAUUCGCUCGUGCACGUCGAAGGCGUCGCCUCGCCCGUCUGAUGAUUUUGGAGAUUGAACUGAGAGGCAACAAAGAAAAAGAUGUGAGCCGCCGGUCGCGCUUUGCGUUCGGUCACAUUCAAACAUGAGUUUCAAAUGGGUACGCGCCAUCUUGUACGGUAAUGAGAGAUCUCGAUUUACUCAAGUAACUUUGUGAAGUCUUUGUGAUUACUUUGAACUGCAACCGCAUUUGGUACAAACGUUUGUAUUUUGCUCGCUGGCUGGUCGUGCUCAGGAAGUUCGCCUUCCCUACCUUCGCGUGACUUUUGAGUAUACAGUGGGUACGGAAGGGAAGAAAUGAAUGCGGCCAAGUACGGGGAUGUCCUGGACCGAAACCUUCUCCAGAGUGCUCAGGACCUCCGAUUGGGCCGAAGGUUCACCUUCCAACAAGACAACGGCCCGAAGCGCACAGCUAAAAUACCGAAGGAGUGGCUUCAGAACAACUCAGUGACUGUUCUUGACUGGCCCGGCCAGAGCCCUGACUUAAACCCAAUUGAGCAUCUCUGGAGAGACCUGAAAAUGGCUGCCCACCGACGUUCAGCAUCCAACCUGACAGAACUGGAGAAGGAUCUGCAAGGAGGAACGGCGGAGGAUCCCCAAAUCCAGUUAUGAAGAACUUGUUGCAUCAUUCCCAAAAAGACUCGUGGCUGGAUUAGCUCAAAAGGGGCUUCUGCUAAAUACUCAGUAAAGGGUCUGAAUACUUAUGGCUGUGGGAUAUUUCAGUUUUUCUUUUUUAAUAAAUCAGCAAAAAUGUCAACAAUUCCGUUUUUUUUCCUGUCAAUACGGGGUGCUGUGUGGACAUGAAUGGGGGGGGGGGGGACUUCAAUGAUAUUAGCAAAGUUGAAGGGGGUCUGAAUACUUUCCGUAGCCACCGUAUGCUGCAUGCUCGUUGUUCAGCACAAUUUGGCUUUUGGCAUGCUGACAACAACAUUAGCAUUAGCUACCGCUGCUUUUGCGGCAGCUGAUUUCUGCUGACGAUGACUGCAAAAAAAAAAGAGAUCGAUUUGAAAAGGUUUUUAUCUUUUUCAAUGGAAUGUUUGAAAUGGAUUUUUCGAUAAAAUGAUUUCAAUAUGAUUUUCACGGAACAAUGACAAAUACGAAUGUGUGCGUUUUGUUUUGGGGUUUGCUGAAGUAAAUAAAAGCAAGAAAUGAGGACGCACCUGUCUUGUGCUCUCUGCUUCGAUGAUGAUGAUGAUGAUGAUGAUGAUGGUGACGAUGAUGGUCGUCGUCCGCAGUAACAGGCGGGCUCACCAUGAUGGGCUGGCGCAGGUGGAGAGGGGAGGGGUACAGGACCGACAGAGGCACCAUGACCGGAGACACCAUGACCCCCGAGCUCUGAAUGACCCC